AUCCUUUUGUAAUACAUAAGCAUGAUGAUUAGGUUUUUAUGUUCACAUGUUAGAUACACCUUCCUCAAAUCCUAUUAUGAUGUCGGCAGAUUACCCAUCUGACG